rnacentral:rRNA from 1 species
GAUGAACGCUGGCGGCGUGCCUAAUACAUGCAAGUCGAGCGAACAGACGAGGAGCUUGCUCCUCUGACGUUAGCGGCGGACGGGUGAGUAACACGUGGAUAACCUACCUAUAAGACUGGGAUAACUUCGGGAAACCGGAGCUAAUACCGGAUAAUAUAUUGAACCGCAUGGUUCAAUAGUGAAAGACGGUUUUGCUGUCACUUAUAGAUGGAUCCGCACCGCAUUAGCUAGUUGGUAAGGUAACGGCUUACCAAGGCAACGAUGCGUAGCCGACCUGAGAGGGUGAUCGGCCACACUGGAACUGAGACACGGUCCAGACUCCUACGGGAGGCAGCAGUAGGGAAUCUUCCGCAAUGGGCGAAAGCUUGACGGAGCAACGCCGCGUGAGUGAUGAAGGUCUUCGGAUCGUAAAACUCUGUUAUUAGGGAAGAACAAAUGUGUAAGUAACCAUGCACGUCUUGACGGUACCUAAUCAGAAAGCCACGGCUAACUACGUG